AGGAAGCUGCUCAAUAAAAUCCAUGGUAAUAUGUUGCCGAGUUUGAGAAGGAAUAGGCAAAGGUUGCAACAGACCGAGGGUAGCAUAAUUUAAGCCUUUACAUUUAGCACAUUCAGCUCAUUGUUGCACCCAUUGCACCACUUCAGCAUACACACCAGGCUAAUAAAAAUGUCAUUGAAGCCUCACAUAAGAGUUAUGAGUACUUGAAUGACCUCCCAUAGCAUUGUCAUGAUAUUAUGCAAAAAAUUGCUUCCUCAAAUCUCAA
rnacentral:misc_RNA from 1 species